rnacentral:rRNA from 1 species
UACGUAGGGGCAAGCGUUGUCCGGAAUCAUUGGGCGUAAAGAGCGUGUAGGCGGCCAGAUAAGUCCGCUGUGGAAAUCUCGAGGCUCAACUUCGAGCUGUCGGUGGAAACUGUCUGGCUAGAGUCCGGAAGAGGAGAAUGGAAUUCCUGGUGUAGCGGUGAAAUGCGCAGAUAUCAGGAAGAACACCCGUGGCGAAGGCGGUUCUCUGGGACGGUACUGACGCUGAGACGCGAAAGCGUGGGGAGCGAACAGG